UCGGAAAUAUGAAAGUAAAAACUAGCUCAUUGAUAAUCAACUUCUUUUUAAUUAUUCACUUAAUUUAAAAAGUGUAACUACAAACCUGCCCUCAUGAAGCUGUUGAUAUGCUGACAGGGUUUUCAAAGCUGUCCCAGCCGCGGUGGACUGGGAGGCAACUCCUCCCCUGCUUCUCCGGUCAUCCCUGCAGAGUGCCACCUGUGAGGGGUGAUUUAGAAUAUUCUUCAAAGCUGGUAUGUCUGCCCCCCUGGCAGCAGGACAUUGCCUCAUCCCCAGCCUCAGUUUCCCUGCGUAUGGGCACUACUUGUCCUCAGCUUCAUGAAGCUGCCUGUCACCUUGUGGACAAAUGUGGAGGCUGAGAGGACAGGUUUCGGCCACUGGCCAUCACAGUAUGUGAGCAGUAACCCUCUUGCAUCAGGCCUUUCUCCAGGAUCUGUGUACUGGGUAACCCAAGCUAAGUCAGGAAAGCUCAGGUUCAACUGUCUCCUGUUGUCACCCUGCAGGCUUCAGCCAUCUCUGAAUCUCAACCUCUCAAAGAUCACAGCCGCUUCAUUGGACAGUAGGAGGACAUUUCUGCUAGGAGAGACAGGGGCGGGUUAUUGCCCUUCGCCCACCAACUCCAGCCACUGGCCUUGACCUUUCCCCUCCUCUCUGAGGUGUGGGGGCUAUGGAUAGUGGAAGGGAUGCUGCUUCAGUAGGGAAUCACCAGCAGAAUCCCUGGCACCAUUGGCCACCUAGAUACUGCAGACACAGGAGGGAAGGACCACCUCCCCCUGCUUCCCCUCUUCUUUCCUCCCUCCCAGUUCCAUGGCUCCAUUUAGAGCAAGGUGAGAUAGCUGGGCACAGCAUUGCACACCUGUAAUCCCAGCGAUUCAGGAGGCUGAGGCAGGAGGAUCCCAAAUUUGAGGCUAGCCUCAGCAACUUAGUGAGACCCUGUCUCAAAACAAAAAGGGCUGGAGAUAUGGUUGAGAGGUAAAGUGCUCCUGAGUUCAAUCCCCAAUGUCCCUUCUGGCCCAAAGGAGCCAGGUGAAGUCAUCUAAGGGGUUUUUAGGAACCCUUGGUGCCCAGGUCAGGAGGGAAUGGGAGUGGGUAGUUGAUGGCACUAAGUUUGUCUCUGAACCUCCGGCAAUAACCCUAGGCUGGAUGAGAACCAGAGUCUAACCUCCUCAUUUGACUCUGGGUCACCUUCACAGGUCACAGCUAUGGGGCAGCCCAGGGAACUCUGGGAGAGCAAUCAUCAAGAGCUGUUCUGUUUACUGUGGGCAGAGGCCAAGGAGGCUCAUCUGGUUGGCUCAGGAUCUUUUUCUCUAAGUCAGUGUCAUUGUCACUUGCAUUCCCUUGUCUCAAUUGUCUGUGAGUCUAAAGGUGAAUUCCAGAUCUUGAAGCUGUUGUCUGUAAGAAUACCUUAGUGGGAUUCCAUUUGGUCUUCCGGGGGCUUCAGUGGACUGGCCAGGGUGAGCUCUCCUGGUCACUUUGCAUGGAGAGAGCAUUAUGUUGGCCAGAAGUGCAGUCAGUUUGGGGGCCACACCUGGUUGCAGGGGGCUGGGGAGGACCCUUGGUUGGCAAGACUAGGUUGAACAGCCUUGAACAGGACUCUUUAUUUUCAUGAUGCCUCUCUCUUCUUCCAGGAACAAUCUUAGGUCCCCCCAGGUCACCUGGGUGUCCCUAUCCUCCAUGCUCCACCCCACCAAAGCCCUUCAGCUGGGCAUGGGAAGCUACAGAACACUCCAGGUGUGACCUCCUGGAUGGUUUCUCAGGGCUGCCUCGCUCUGAAAGCUGAGGAAGCCGGGCUGAGCGGGGCACCUUCUCCUCACUAUGGGAACAUGGGGCCUGAGUUCCUUGUUCAAGUUCACCUCUUGGAUCUGAGUCAAGAUCCUCCUGAGUGGAGACUGGAAAGAUUACACAUGCUGUGGGCUGAGCUGUGUCCCCCCCGCAAAACUCCAGUGCUGAAGCCCUGAACCCCAGCACCUCAGAAUAUGGAGAGAGGGACCUUGAGAGAGGGGAUUAAAGGGAAGUGCGGUCACUGGGGUGGCCCUACCUAGUCCAGUCUGACUAGGGUUCUUUGAAGAGGACUCCAGGACCCAGAUACACCCAGAAAGAUGACCCGGUGAGGACACAGAGAGAAGAUGCCAUUUGCAAGCCACACGAGGGCGGACUCAGGAGGAACCAGCCCUGCUCCUCCUUCAUCUGGGACUGUAGCCUCUCCAGGGCUGUGAGAGAGUCCACGUCUGCACUGAAGCCACCUGGUCAGUGGUGUGGGCUAACUGUCGACACCAGACCUGAAGGAGAUGCCCACCCAUCUAUGGGGGUCUCACUGGGCCCUGGGGGGGGUCCCUGGGGAGGGGAUUUUUGCCACAAGGUAGCCAACUGUGAGAAAACACCAAGGUCAGGGGUGACCUGUAGCCUUUUCUCCAGGUCAAGCAGCCCGGGACAGAGAAGGAGACCUUCUUGUUCCCAUCCGCCCGUCCGUCCACUCUUCUGGUUGGGAGAUGGAGGUCUCUGGCCUCCUCAUGUCUCCGUGGCUUAGAGCUGGGCUGUGGGGAAGGCAGCAGGUCUCUGCGUUCCCCGGGGUGCUUUGGUGACGUGGAGCCUUGCCACUGGGAGGAGGGGCUUGGUGUGGCCUGGACCUGGUUUCUACGGAGGGGAGUUGGCACGUGGGGUGGCGGGAUGUUCUCAGCUUUUAGCUGCAGAUUUAUGUAAAUAUGGAUUAUGGAGUUUGGCCCCAGUUCUCCCUUCCCCUUUCCCCUCCCCUGCCCCGGAACAUAGUGGGCAUUAGCGCCCGUUGGUUGGUGGAUUUCCACAGCCUGUCAAUGAGCAGCACUUAAUUCUCAGGCAAAUGUCGACUUAUCUCGCUGUGUGGUGGGCUUAGGCAUUUGCCUCGCUCAGCCUGCAAAGCCGUGGAAGGGAGGGAGGGACGUGGCCACAGAGAAGGGGUGGCUUCCCUCACCAGGGCCUGCUGCGUCUCCUGGCUUUGUCCUGGCAGUCCCAUGCAGGACUGGGAGCACAGAGAGAAGGCUCCUCAAGGGCAGUGGGCCUCUGUCUUGCUGUGUGUCUCUGAGUAGGUUCCUUCCUUUUAUUUUAUUCUAUUUUUUUUUUUUUUUUGGUACCAGGGAUUGAACUCAGGGGCACUUGA